rnacentral:lncRNA from 1 species
AAAUUCUAACCUUUCUUAUUUAAGAGACACCAAGAAAAAGAAUGACAACUUUUGAGCUUCUCUACACGUUCUCUUUUUUCUUUUUUGUAAAUUUAAGGAUAUAGAUAUUUCUUUUGUAUUUAUGAGAACUCUGUUCUCAUGCACAACAGAAGAGGGCAUCAGAUCUCAUUGCAGAUGGUUGUGAGCCAUUAUGUGGUUUGCUGGGAAUUGAACUCAGGUCCUCUGGAAGAGCAGACAGUUCUCUUAACCCCUGGACCAUCUCUCCAGAGAUUCUUCCCAUGAAUUUCUACGUAUUCUAUGCAGACAUACACACUGUAAUCACUAUGCUGCAUUACAGAUGAGGAAACUGAGGCUACAAUAACCUGGGAAAAUUGCUGGGUUACAGAGAGAUGAUUCCAGAAUGUGAACAUAGCCCCUCUGCGCUGUACAGCACCAUGUUUCCCCCUUUGUGAUCACAGGACAUUUUACCUGCGGGUCACGUUCUGGUGUCUGCUCAGAGUACAUGUGAAAUACAGCUCACCUCCAGUGUGGCCAUGAGGCAUCAAUCUUAGUUCUUUUGUGUCUUUCCAGCUUGGCUAUGAGAGAACAAACACAUUCAUCAGGGUCGACCGAGACCACGAUUAAGUGAACUGACUGUGAGCCUUGGGUUUACAGAUGUAGGUGGGUCUGACCUUGGCAGCAAGGGGGCUCGUAAAUGAAACUAUGACAUCCAUAACUUCGAGAUGCUGUGAUUUACAUCGCCGUGUAAAUGAGAACCCUUUAGCUAUACUGUGUGUAGGCUGCAAAUUGUUGAAGACACUAACCUCCUGGAUUGAAAUCAGUGCGGUGAUAAGGGCUACCUGCCUGAUCACUAUGUGCCAGAAGCACCAGAGAUGUUUACGUGUCAUCUCUACAUGCCACACAAGAGCACAGUGAAGUACAUGUUGAUAUGCUUGUUUUAAAUAUAUAGAGUUCAAGGAUGGAGAUCCUUUUGAUGGGUUUUCAUAGCUGGUAAAUAAAAAUAUUGACACUUAAGCAUUUGGAUUUGGUACUGAAGUCUGUGUACUUCCACAUCGAUUGUUUGCUACUCAGAAUAUAAUCCCUUAUGGGUAGCACCACCUAGGAGCUUGUGAGAAAUUCAGGAUUCCAGGUUGUACCCUACUAGUUGAUGGGCAUCUGCAUCUUAACAAGGAUUCCAAGUGAUGCUUGGGCAUACAGAAUUUCAAUGCACUGGUCUGAGUUACAUUAUCUCAAUUUCUUUUUUUUCGAGGUCUUGAUUCAAUCUUGAUUGCCACUGAGCAUGCCUGUUCUAAGUUCUCCUGGUGGAGAAUUCUCCCAGUUUUCUUAGAUAUUCAUCACAGACCACAGAAACUGCCAGACCUGUGAUACUUUAUGUGGCCAGAAGGUGGCACUGGUGGAAUCUCUCCCAGCAUCUAUGGAGAUCUCCUUAUAGCAGCAAAGGCAGAAAGCUCAGACCUGGGUCACAGGGAGGGUGCAAUACAUGGAUUAAAAAUGUCACUGGUCCAAUUUGAGACCCAUUCCACUGACAAGCACCAAUCCCUAAUACUAUUAAUGAUAUUCUGUUAUGCUUGCAGACAGGAGUAUGUUGUCCUCUGCAAGAUUCACCCAACAGCUGACUCAGACAGAUGCAGACACCCACAGACAAACAGUGGAUAGAGCUUGGUAACUCUUAUGGAAGAAUAGGAAUAAGGAUUGCAGGUCCUGAAGGGGAUAGGAACUCCAUAGGAAGAGCAACAAAGUCAACUAACCUGGACCCUUGGGGCUCUAAGAGUCUGAACCACCAACCAAAGAACAUACAUGGGGUGGACCUAGGGCUCCCUGCUCAUAUGUAGCAGAUGUACAGCUUGACCUUCAUGCGAAUCCUGAACAAUUGGAAUGGGGACCAUCCCAAAAGCUGUUGCGGGUUGGUGCAUUGUGUUCUACUAGCUGAGCUGCUUUGUCUGGCCUCAGUGGGAGAGGAAACAGAGAAUUGAAGUGUCAGGGUGGAGGGCAUACCCAGGAGAUCCUCCACCCAUUCAGAGGAGAAAAGGAGCGGGUGGGUGGAAGAAGUAUUGUGAGAGGGGGUGUCAGUGAGGGGGCAGUGAACGGGAUGUAAAAUGAAUAAGUAAAAACAACAACAAAAAAUCAAAACCAAAACAAACACUCAACCACCACCACCACCACCACCACCAAAACGUCACUAUGGGGGCUUUGUAGCACUAUGGCAAAGAGGAAAGGGGAUUUUUGUCAAUGUCUGUGUUUCCUAGGAAGUGGUGUAAAUAGUUUCAGCAGAAAACCAAACCAAACAUGGUGCACCGCUGCUGAGCUGCAGUCUUGUAGCUUGUCCUCAGGCUCAGGAGGAAAGGCAGCAUGGGGCCUGGCUACUAAUGCUUACUUUGCUGCUUAUUCCAUCAGAACUUUGGGUCCUGGGUUCGUAUCCUGCCUUUGAGAAAUCAAGAAUGCAAGGUCAUAAUAUAAUGUUAAGGAGCAACAUUCCAAUAAGUCAAAAUUAAGGAAAUCCCUUUGUUACACUGUGCACAGAUCACCAUGCCCAAACUCAUCUAGUUAAUGACUUGCAUUAUUUCUAACUUUAUAAUGUAUAUAAAAGUGAAUAUGGGGGGCACAAAGAUGGCUCAGUCAAGAAGUACUUGUACAUCAUGAGGAUAUGAGUUUGAUGUCCAGUACCCAAGUUUAAAAAGACAAGCAAACAAAUAAACAACCCCCCAAAUGGUGUGAAACAGCAUAUGCAUGUAAUUGUAGCAAUGGGAAAGUGGAGACAGGAGGGUCACUGGAGCUCACUGGCAUGGCAGCCUAGUGGAAAUGGAUGGCUUCAGGCCAAUGACAGACCAUGUCUCAAAAAUAACACGGAGAACAGUUGAGGAAGACAUCUGAUACGAACCCUCACACAUGCACCGAUGCACACACAUGUGUACACACAUGAACACUCAGACAAAGAUACAAAAGAGUGAGUAUAUAAAACAGAAAAGAAAAUCAUGAAAUAAAACAUCCAAAAGAAUUCCCUAAACCCCAAAAUUCUGGUGCAUAAAUGAUACCUUUACUAAAUAACUGCCUAACACAUUCCUAUAGGAUUUCCAUCUUUCUUUUCUGCUAGUUCUGAGACAGGUUCUCUGUAGCUCUGGCUGUCCUAGAACUUACUAUGUGAACAAGGCUGUCUCCAACUCCCAGAGAUCCACUUGUCCUUGCCACGCCCCCCAAAUGUUGGGAUUAAAGGUGUGUGCCACUACACCACGUCUGGGUCUCCAUCUUUCUACAUUUCUCUUUUGGAAUUCAUAUGCUUUGGUGAUCUUUCCAUAUUAAUUGCCAUUGAACAAUGUUUUCAUACAAAGGAUUCAAAAAGGUCAGCUUGCUCCUUCUUUAAUGUUGAUCCCCAUUUCUGCCUGUCUUAUUUUGAUAGCUGGGAUUUGGAAACUGUAGGUUUUCAAAUAGAGUCUCGGUGUUGCUAGCAUUGUGAAAGAGUGCUCUUCAAAUACUAAACCUGCACCACUGUGUUUCAUCCUGGUCCCACCAACAGAGCACAACCAUGGUGUGUCUGUAACUCUAUGGUCUGUAUUAUUGAGUAAAUUCUUGAAAGAACUCCCAUUUCAACUAAAGGUCAGAGAAAAUUCUGGCUGCUGCCAUUAAUUGUAUAUAUUUUAUAACUUGAAGGAUUUCCCUGAGGUAAACAUCAUGUGUUUCAAACCUUCUGAUUCCUUCAGCCCCCACCCUCAUUGAAUUCUGGGGGCAGCUACACAUGAGCAUGCUCCUAGGGAGACAGAACUGGUAGCCCUUUACAGCCACAACAGGUCGUCACAGGAGCCAGAGUCUAUUGUGUAUUAUUAUGCGGGUACUAUUCCCACUGCAUCUCCUUUGUCUUCUAGCUCUGUCUAAAGCAGGGCUGUCCAUUGCUGCACAAGGACUCUGAACUGCAGGGGGCAGCACAAGCUAUGAGCAAAGGCCGAGCAAGGCUCUAGAGGACCCUAGUAAGGAUGAUGGGUAAGCUUUCACAGCAUACAUUUUUCCCACUUCUCCUGAGCUGAUUAAAAAACAUCAACCAG